CCUACGGGAGGCAGCAGUGGGGGAUAUUGCACAAUGGGCGCAAGCCUGAUGCAGCGACGCCGCGUGGGUGAAGAAGUACCUCGGUACGUAAAGCCCUAUCAGCAGGGAAGAAAAUGACGGUACCUGACUAAGAAGCUCCGGCUAAAUACGUGCCAGCAGCCGCGGUAAUACGUAGGGGGCAAGCGUUAUCCGGAUUUACUGGGUGUAAAGGGAGCGUAGACGGCAGUGCAAGUCUGGAGUGAAAGGCGGGGGCUCAACCCCCGGACUGCUCUGGAA
rnacentral:rRNA from 1 species